UCCUCCUGAUGCUGGGGUCCUCCGGCAUUCCUCCCUGAGCCCCCCAAGGGCCCUGAAGCUCAGCGGCCCAGCCCUGGCCUCGGGGUCCCCACCCCACACCUCCCUUCCAGGCCUAACCUUUGCCCCCGACACCAGGCAGGGCGUGUCCUUGGCCUUCGCCGCCCAGCCCGCGUGGCAUCUCUGGACAGGUGGUCGUGCGCGCCUUGGUGUGGGCAGGCUCCGUAGCCGGCAAAGCCUCCCUGAACCGUGACCUGGUGAGAAGGCCGCAGAGGAGGUGCCUGUGCCCAGAGGCCACCUCCAAAGACCCCACCUGAGGCUGGAACCCAGCGCCUGCUGACCCCGCCAGCCCCAACAGGGCUGGAGUCCAGGAGCGGCCGUGCUCUUUCCGCAGUGAGGCAGCUGCCUUCUCUUCCCACCACCUGUCAGGAUGCCUUCCCGUGUGUGCUUGUGCACAGGUCUAAGGAGAGGAGAGUCCAGUGAGUGACCCAGACGCCCCAGCCAGGAAGAGCAUGAGGUGCGAAGGGGGCUUCCCAGAUGGAGAGAAACAGAUGGUCCCAGAGUGGCUUGGAGACAGGUGCAACAUCAGUGUUGGGGGAGGUGAGCAAAAGGAGCUGUCUCGGGGUUCCAGGCUGCUGAUGUGAGCAGCACCGUGGGUCUCUGUCCUGCCUGCUCAGAUGCUGGAGGGAGCUGACAUCUACUUGGGACAUCCCUCUCUGUAGGACAUGGAGCGGAGCGUUCAGGGCUAUCAGGAGGGAGCCCCGUGGCCACGGUGCAAGAUCUAGGCAGGCGGGACAGACAUGGUCAGGAUGCUGGGGACACAGCAUGGGGAAUCCAGCACACAGGACACCAUCCAGGAAAGCAAAGCUGCAGCCUGAGAUCUCCUUCCACCAACUCCUGGCAUGGCCAGAAAGUUAGCCAGAAACACCAGAAAGUGCCAGGCAGCUAGGAAGCAUGGGGAGAGCCCCCUGAAGCUGCGUGUGUAGUGCCUGCUUCCGCUGCCAUCCCAGAAAUGGACGAGCUUCACCCUGAGAACCCAGCCACACCACUGGGACACAUCCUGACAGUGACAUGCACACUCUUCCCUGGCCCCAGCCUGGAGAGGAGCCUCCUGAAGACACCAGCCUUUGCUCCUUCUCCCAGUGGGAGUGGAGAGAACUGACUGCUGGAGUGGAGACAGUCAAGGCUGUCCUUCUGAGGGAGCACAGCACAGGGUCUGGUGUCCCAGGGAGGCAAUCUGAAAUUCAAGCCAGGCCUCCCCAGCGGAGAGGACACACCCCUCACCAUGCAGAGUGACGUUUAGUAAACUCUCAAAAGAGAGCACAGAGCCCCACUCCUCCAGCCGACCCAUACUCUGCCUCCCCACUCCAGACCAGUGAACAAGGUGGAUUGCCCUUAAGCCAGCUCAGAGGCAAAGUCCAAAGACCUCAGGUGAGUCAAACAAUAAAAACAAAGAAUUAAGAAGAAUCCAGCUGGGUGCGGUGGCUCACGCCUGUAAUCCCAGCACUUUGGGAGGCUGAGGCGGGAGGAUCACGAGCAGGAGGUCGAGACCAUCC
rnacentral:lncRNA from 10 species